CCUACGGGUGGCAGCAGUCGAGAAUCAUUCACAAUGGGGGAAACCCUGAUGGUGCGACGCCGCGUGGGGGAAUGAAGGUCUUCGGAUUGUAAACCCCUGUCAUGUGGGAGCAAAUUAAAAAGAUAGUACCACAAGAGGAAGAGACGGCUAAAUCUGUGCCAGCAGCCGCGGUAAUACAGAGGUCUCAAGCGUUGUUCGGAAUCACUGGGCGUAAAGCGUGCGUAGGCUGUUUCGUAAGUCGUGUGUGAAAAGCGCGGGCGCAACCCGCGGACGGCACAUGAUACUGCGAGACUAGAGUAAUGGAGGGGGAACCGGAAUUCUCGGUGUAGCAGUGAAAUGCGUAGAUAUCGAGAGGAACACUCGUGGCGAAGGCGGGUUCCUGGACAUUAACUGACGCUGAGGCACGAAGGCCAGGGGAGCGAAAGGGAUUAGAUACCCUUGUAGUC
rnacentral:rRNA from 1 species